rnacentral:rRNA from 1 species
CCUACGGGAGGCAGCAGUGAGGAAUAUUGGUCAAUGGCCGUAAGGCUGAACCAGCCAAGUCGCGUGAGGGAAGAAGGCCCUAUGGUUUGUAAACUUCUUUUAUAGGGGAAUAAAGGUAUCCACGUGUGGAUCUUUUCAUGUACCCUAUGAAUAAGCAUCGGCUAAAUCCGUGCCAGCAGCCGCGGUAAUUCGGAAGACGCGAGUGUUCUACGGCUUUAUUGGGUUUAAAGGGUGCGUAGGUUGUUUUUGAAGUCAGCGGUGAAAGUUUGUGGCUCAACCAUAAAAUUGCCGUUGAAACUGGAAGACUUGAGUGUGUUUGAGGUAGGCGGAAUGCGUGGUGUAGCGGUGAAAUGCAGAGAUAUCACGCAGAACUCCGAUUGCGAAGGCAGCUUACUGAGCCAUAACUGACACUGAAGCACGAAAGCGUGGGGAUCAAACAGGAUUAGAUACCCGUGUAGUC